rnacentral:rRNA from 1 species
GGAAUCUUGCGCAAUGGCCUAACGGCUGACGCAGCGACGCCGCGUGAGGGAUGACGCUCUUCGGAGUGUAAACCUCUUUUGUCUGAGACGAACUGUCAGCUUUUGCUGAUUUGACGGUAUCGGGCGAAUAAGCACCGGCUUACUCCGUGCCAGCAGCCGCGGUAAUACGGGGGGUGCGAGCGUUGUCCGGAAUCACUGGGCGUAAAGGGCGCGUAGGUGGUCUUAUAAGGGUGUGGUGAAAGCCCGGGGCUCAACCCCGGGUCGGCCGUGCCGACUGUGAGACUAGAGUGCUGUAGGGGCAGGCGGAAUUCCGGGCGUAGCGGUGGAAUGCGUAGAGAUCCGGAGGAAGACCGGUGGCGAAGGCGGCCUGCUGGGCAGAUACUGACACUGAGGCGCGACAGCGUGGGGAGCAAAC